AGAUCGUGAAAAAACCCUAGCACUUCAAUUUCGAGCCCAAAACUGUGUCUAUUUAAUCUCAGUUUCGCCGCAUUCUUCACCGCAAACCAAGAAGCCUUCAAUAUCCGAUCUCUUCUUCUCCACUCGUAAUCGCCAUUUCUUUCUCUAAUCUGCCAUUACUCGGGUUUCUCCUUCUGCUCUCUCUGUUUUUCCCAGACGUUUAUGGGCUAUGAUUAGAAAGAGAGAGGCUCGAGUGGGAUUCGAAAUUGAAAUCCCUGUUCCGAUUUUUUUCCGAGAAUAGCGAUCGACAGAGGAGAAGAGGAUUGAUUCAAGGUGCCGCCGUCUUCUAAUGAUGGCUUUGGAAGAGGAAGCUGAACUUGUUGAGCUCGAAAACUGUGGAACCCAAAUGCAAUUAAAAAAUACUCCAUGGACCAAAUUUUCUAUCUUUAACAAAAAAAAUAAUUAUUUCACAAAUCAAGACAUGUAAGUUUGGACAAAUUGUGGAAUAAAUUCCCAAAUCAAACCAAGCAGAGGGAAAAAAUAAAAAUUAAGAACUAAUUGGAGUUUAAAAUUCUCAAAUCAUAACAAUUUCUUAUUUUCUGUUUUGGUCUGAUUUUAAUAUGGUUCUGAAAGGGCGACCUAUACUAUUAAGAAAGAACCAAAUUUGAGCGAUGAAAUUAGUAUUAACCUUAAAACGUAAGAAUUCACAACAUUUUUUUAAUAGAACCUUGGAAAGAAUCACUGACAUGAUUCAUCGGUUGGAGAUGGAUUUGGUCAUCAAACCAUAUUUAUGGUUAUUUUCGUAAAUGAAACCCUCUUGAUAAAGCCUAAAAAUUUUCUAAACAUACUGCUAGUUUAGAUUUUUUCCAAAGACAUGGAUGAACAUCUCUUUAUCUCUUAUUGACCAGCUAUGACUUGGUUUUUUUGGGUACAUCGUCGUACAUUCCGACACCAAUCAAACCUUUACGGUGAAACACCAUAUUUUAAAUAUUUUAAACGACUUGGCAAGGAUACAUUUGGUUUUUAGUUUACAUAUAUUAUUUUUCAUAGUAGAAGUAAAGUCUAGUAAUUGAAUCGAGUCAUUUAUAUGCUUAAAAGACCUGAUAGUUUAGUCAACUAAUGUUCUAUGCUAGCAAGUUUAAGUGUCUUGACAUGUGUUCACAUGGAUACACUAUACAUGCUUCUUAGUCUUUGAUUGAUCAUUGAUAAUCUUUAGUUUGUUUGAUUUGGUUAUUUUGGUCCAUGGUUUUGUCACUAGAUUUGUAGAAGUGAGGAAAGAUUCAUGGUUUACCACUGUGAAAAUUCUAUUAUGCAAUUAAGCUUGUUUCUUUGUAUUGUACUGCAUAUCCAAUUGAGCAUAUUGAGACAAUGCAUGAUAGUACAUUUACUCGUAUAGAUAUUAUAUUAAAUCUGAUUCACUAAAACCAAAAAUGAUAAAAUGUUAAGAAUACAACACAAUAAUCAAACAAAACAUCUACUACUACUAAAUUUAUCACGAACUUUUUAACAAUGAAAAAUGAAGAUAUGUAGUAAUAGGUAUUCAUUUAUUUGUAGAAUUAAAUGACUAUUGUUAAUAUUGACGUUGAAACUGAAAGGGUUUGGGGUUGUCUUAAAAAAACUUUCUUUGUCAAGAUUGUAAAUGUUUUCAGAAAAGACCUAAACCUAUAAAGGGACCUGCAAUAACAAAUCUAUCACGUAAAAAGAAGUGAGGGACUUGUUUACCAUAAUAGAACUCCAACUUCAUUGAACUGUAUAGUUGGCCACGUUUACGAGUAGAAUUAGUUGGCACACCUUUUUACUUAAAGGUUAGAGAUUGAAUUUUAGUUGUUGCAUUUUAAAAUUUGUUUUUAAUAGAUGUGGCGUAAAUUUAAUUUGGUUUCAUAAUAGAAGAUAAUAACACCCAAAGUUAAAUUAGAAACUAUAAACAUCUAUUAAUGUUCUAUUUGAUAUUCCAUGUUUACUAAUUUACUACCUUAAGUUUUUUUGUUAGAAAAUUAAACAACAGAUUGUUAAUAUCAUUCUUACAACGUUAUGUUAUUGGAUAACAAAAAUAAUUCUCUUGUUUGAAGAAUGAAGGAAUGAUUGUGUUCAAUAUUCUUUCUAAUUCUUCUUAAUUUUAGUGUCAAUCCCUAUUUUGGUAAAGCUUUUUAGGUGUAAAUCACUCUGAACUUCAUACAUAACAUCAAAGUUGUAAUUUCAAACAUACUCCUCUUAGUAAAGUUAAAAAUGUCUAUCUAUUAUAAGGUUUGGAAUGAAGUAUAAUUUUAAUCCAUACGUUUCCAGAUUUGCUCUAUUUUAAACUUUAAAGAACAAAAUGGUAUUUAACUUCACUACAUUAGAAAUGUCUAGUAGGGUAUGUGAAUUUAAAACUUGACUCCAAAGAUAUGUAAUAACAAUUUUUUAGUAGGAUGUAUGAAUUUAAAACUUGACUUGAGAGUAUAUGUAAUAACAAAUUUCUAGUAAGAUAUAUGUUAAUAUAUUCAUUAAGAAUAAUACAAUUUUGAUAUGUACCAAAAGGUAAGACAACAAUUCACCGUGUAAAUCAACUCAAACUACUCUUAGCUAAUUGCUAUUAGCCAAAGCACUCUAAAACAUGAUUUAAAUAAAUUAAAAUUAACUUGGUUGUUAUGAAAAUUGUAUUUAAAAUUGAAAAUUCCAAACCAAUCGUUUUUUAGUGAGUAAAAGAUGUGUUGUGUGUCGUAGUGAUUUUGAAUAUGACAGAGUGAUUUUAAAAAUUUUAUGUAUGGAAAAAAAAUAAGCUAUAUUGAAAACAUAAACAAACAUAUUUGUUUUUUAAACUAAAUUAUUUCCAAAAUUGAAGUUGUGUACAUGGGUAUGUGACUUUCCCUAAUUCAGUCACAACCGACGUUUUUAGCCAUGUGCAGAGUGUCACAGUCAUAUUUGUCCAAAGUUUAUCUUUAUGUCUCAUAUCUAGUUUAGGUAGUUGUCUUUCAUUUUAAGUCUAUGUCUCAUAUUUUAGGUAGUUGAUUUUCAUUUUAAGUCAUAAAGUUUGGGUGCGACGUUUCAGCAUUUUCAUAUACAAGCUUAGCUGAAAAUGUUCAAAAUGUACUAUAGGGGAGACAUACAUUUUAAGUAAUUGCCUUUCAUUUUAA